ACUGUCAGGUGGGCAGUUUGACUGGGGCGGUCGCCUCCCAAAAGGUAACGGAGGCGCUCAAAGGUUCUCUCAGUACGGUCGGAAAUCGUACGUAGAGUGUAAAGGCAAAAGAGAGCUUGAUUGCAAGACAUACAGGUCGAGCAAGGAUGAAAAUCGGACUUAGUGAUCCGGUGGUUCUGCGUGGAAGGGCCAUCGCUCAACGGAUAAAAGCUACCCUGGGGAUAACAGGCUUAUCUCCCCCAAGAGUCCACAUCGACGGGGAGGUUUGGCACCUCGAUGUCGGCUCAUCACAUCCUGGGGCUGUAGUAGGUCCCAAGGGUUGGGCUGUUCGCCCAUUAAAGUGGUACGCGAGCUGGGUUCAGAACGUCGUGAGACAGUUCGGUCCCUAUCCGUCGCAGGCGUAGGAAAUUUGAGAAGACCUGUCCUUAGUACGAGAGGACCGGGAUGGACGUACCUCUGGUGUACCAGUUG
rnacentral:rRNA from 1 species